rnacentral:rRNA from 1 species
UGGGGAAUUUUGGACAAUGGGCGAAAGCCUGAUCCAGCAAUGCCGCGUGUGUGAAGAAGGCCUUCGGGUUGUAAAGCACUUUUGUCCGGAAAGAAAUCCUUGGCUCUAAUACAGUCGGGGGAUGACGGUACCGGAAGAAUAAGCACCGGCUAACUACGUGCCAGCAGCCGCGGUAAUACGUAGGGUGCAAGCGUUAAUCGGAAUUACUGGGCGUAAAGCGUGCGCAGGCGGUUUGCUAAGACCGAUGUGAAAUCCCCGGGCUCAACCUGGGAACUGCAUUGGUGACUGGGCAGGCUAGAGUAUGGCAGGAGGGGGGUAGAAUUCCACGUGUANCAGUGAAAUGCGUAGAGAUGUGGAGGAAUACCGAUGGCGAAGGCAGCCCCCUGGGCCAAGUACUGGCGCUCAUGCACGAAAAGGCGUGGGGAGCAAACAGGAUUAGAUACCCCUGGUAGUCCACGCCCUAAAACGAUGUCAACUAGUUGUUGGGGGAUUUCAUUUCCUUA